GCUAAAAUUUAUUUAUUCUAGGACAAAACAUCACAUAUUCACAAGAUGAAGACUCUAAGCACCUGAUUAAAUUGCAACAAAACGCCUUUUGCAAACCAGCUUAUGCUUGCAACCACAAUUUAAUUAUAUUUAUAUAUCACCAAACUUUGUGCUAACACUUGCUUAGAAAGUUUGGAUCCUGAAAGUUGAACUACUACUACUACUACUAACAAACCAACUUCAGAGGAAUAGCUUCUCCUUUUAUUUCAGAAUUGCUGCCCCGAAACUUGAAAAUGCAAGGAUCGGCAUCAACUAGCAACUUCACCACUUCUCUCAUGUUAGGUCGCAGGUUUGGAAGUUUAGUGGUGCAGAGGAUAGCAAUCUUCAAUACUUUAAUCAUGUCCUCUUGGACAGAUUCAGAUGUAACCUUGCUGUCAAGAACCUUGAGGACAUUUUCGUUGUUAUUGACAUGCUUCCAAACCCAGUAGACAAUAUCUUUCCCUUCUCCAUAUGCCUCAUCAAUAGGUUUCCUACCAGUGACUAAUUCUAGCAGCACAAUGCCAAAACUAUACACAUCACUCUUUUCUGUAACUUUAAGAGUAUAUGCCAUCUCUGCAAAGCAGUUUGUAUGUGCAAAGAGUAUUAGCUUAUUUACAGAAAUCACCAGGAAGAAAGGAAAGAGAGAAGAAAGUUUAAGAACUUACCAGGAGCAAUAUAUCCAUGAGUGCCUGCAAGAGAGCUAAUAUCACAACCCUUCCAGGACAUUUCUGCAAGCUUUGCAACCCCAAAAUCAGCAAUUUUUGGCUCGUAAUCUUCAUCGAGUAAAAUGUUGCUUGAUUUUAUGUCUCUAUGAAUAAUUGGUGGAGAGCAAUCAUGAUGCAGAUAUGCAAUUCCCUUAGCAGUGCCCAAAGCUAUUUUAUGCCUCUGAUACCAAUCCAAUUCAGGCUCUUCAUCUUUAAUCUUUCUAUGAAGUGCAUUAAACAGAUUACCUUUAGCCAUGUAUUCAAACACCAGAAAACAUGAUCCUUCUUGGAGUAAACUAGCAUAAAGCUUCAGGAUAUUUCUAUGCCUGAUUUUCCCCAAAGUCUCCAUUUCAGCUGCUGAAAGCUUGAGAACAUCUCCUUUCCAUAGUUGCUUUACAGCCACUGUGCAACCACUUCUCUUCAAAUCCAGGCGGUAUACUUUCCCUGUACCACCUUUUCCAAUCAAAUUUUCCUCUUCCAAAUUACAUAUUUCAUCUGCUUUAAUAUCCAACUGGUCGAAAGAUGCAAGUCUCCAGUUUGGAUCCAAAUCAUUUUCUCUGUCUACUUGACCUUGCUUGAAGAAGUUCUUGUACCUAACAAGCAGUAAGCCAGCAAAAGCAACAACCAAGGCAGAUAUGAUGAUAGAGAACAUGACAAACUUAUCUCCAAAUGUUUGUUCCUGACUCUGCUUUCCCUGGCAAACAUUAAUCUUCGAAUUUAUAAUGUUCUUGGAAUUUUCAACAACGCAAAGUUCCGUGUUCCCUAGAAAUGCUUUCUCACCACCCAUGGUCAGAAGAACUGACGGAAUUCUUCCUGAUAAUUGGUUUCCAGAUAAGUCAAUGGAACUAAGCUUCAGUUUCUCUAAAUCUUCUGGAAUCAAACCAGUAAGUUCGUUUCGUGAAAGAUUCAAAGAGUUUAAAGAGCUCAUCAGUGAAAAGGCUAGUGGGAUUUGACCACUCAGAUAAUUCGAAGCAAGAUUUAAGUCCACCAGUCUAGUGCAAUCAGUCAGUUUCGAUGGUAUGGAUCCUGUUAAUGAAUUUUCUUCCAUAUGCAAGGAAGAUAACUGCUUCAAAGCACCAAUUUCAGAAGGUAUUUCACCUGAGAAGCUAUUAUUCUGCAAGGAAAGCUUCUCUAGAUUCCUCAAUUUGCCAAGUUCAGAAGGAAGCUGAUCCGAAAACCUGUUGUUCUGCAAAAUCAACAGAUUCAAGCGGUUAGACAACCCAAUUAUAGGGGAUAUUGGUCCACUGAAAUUAUUAUCACUCAAAUCAAGUACGCUGGCAAGUGGCAGAGCCCAAACCCCAUCUGGAAUCCGUCCAGAUAACUUGUUCUUAUUGAUCCUCAACCUUAUUAAAGAUUUACACUCAGCGUAAGAAUCUGGCAACUCCCCAGAAAAAAUGUUUCCCAAAGCCAGCAAGUACUGUAAGUUUCUGCUUUCACACAAAAACUUCGGGAAACUACCUGAAAAUUGAUUCUCAGAUAUGUCAAUACUGUUUAGUGGUGAGAAUCUGCCAAAAUUCGCCGGGAAAUCCCCAGAAAAAUUGUUCCCAUAAAUUGAAAAUCCAUCAAGAUGCUGCAUCUCUCCAAAACCAGCAGGUAGUUCUCCAGAGAAAUUAUUAUCAUAUGCCUGGAAUACCUUCAGAUACUUCAAAUUUCCAAUUCCCUCGGGCAGUUUCCCAUACAUCUGAUUUGAAGAUAUAUCAAAUUCCCGCAAGAGAGUGAGGUUUGCGAGCUCCGGUGGGAUCUCCCCAGUUAAAUUGUUGACAAAGAGCUCAAUCUUUGUAAGCUUUUGCAAUUUGGAAAUUGAUUUUGAGAAUUUCCCUGAGAUCUUGUUCCUCGAAAUAUCAAGCGUUUCAAGCUUCCAUAGUCCAAAAAUGGACUCCGGAAUCUCUCCCCUCAAAUGGCUAUCAGCCAGAAACAAAUAAGUCAAGUUCUUCAAAUUUCCAAUAUUCUCAGGGAUCUCACCCUCAUCAUAUUCAUUUUGCCCCAUAGAAAGCGCAAUCAACCCAGUUAAAUUUCCUACCCAUGUCGGAAAUCUGCCAGAGAAGUAGUUCAACGACAAAUCAAGAAUCUCCAAGUUUCUCAACGAAGAAAGAUCAGGAAAGACUCCCACCAUUUCAUUUCCGGUUAGAUUCAAUACUCUAAGAUUGCUGCAAUUAAGAAGCUCAAGAGGAAGCUUCCCUGAGAAUGAAUUAGAAGGCAACCAAAGGGUAGUCAAGCUCUCAAGGGCAGAAAUGGAUGGUGAAAUCUCACCAGAGAGAGACUUGUUGUCAAGUGAGAUUUCAGUCACUUUCCCAGAUGUGAGAUCGCAGGUAAUCCCAGAAAACAUGCAUGGAGAAUCUAAUUCUUUCCAAGAAUCCAAAACGUUCAAAGGGUCUUUCAGCUGUCUUUUGAAUUCAAGCAAGGCCUGGGUCUCAACAUUCGAGCCAAAAGAAAGCGGGAAAGCUGACAAGAAUAGGAAGAAAAGAAGUGAAAUGAAUUGCAAGGAAAGAAAACAGCUUUUGGCCAUUGGGAAAUAGUAAAAGAAAAACAAAGAGCUUGCUAAAUUGCUCCUUCAAUUGUCGCCAUUGUUGCAUCCUGCAAACAAGCGAAACAGACCACAUAAACACAUCAGACAAACAGAUAUCUGCUUACAGAACACCAGGUAUAAUCUAAGAGUUACAUAAUUAAAGAAUUUAGGUUGAUAAACAAACAAGUGAGAGACUUAAAAAUGAGACCUUGG
rnacentral:misc_RNA from 1 species